AUAAUGAUACUUCUGUUCAGUCACAGUCCGAGCGUUAAAAGCGUCGCAGGCAAUGAGAACAGUUCCGGUGAUGCCGGGAAGGUGAGAUUCCUAUGA
rnacentral:ncRNA from 1 species